rnacentral:rRNA from 1 species
AUUGAACGCUGGCGGCAUGCCUUACACAUGCAAGUCGAACGGCAGCACGGGGCAACCUGGUGGCGAGUGGCGAACGGGUGAGUAAUGCAUCGGAACGUGCCAUUGAGUGGGGGAUAACGUAGCGAAAGUUGCGCUAAUACCGCAUAUUCUGUGAGCAGGAAAGCAGGGGACCGCAAGGCCUUGCGCUCUUUGAGCGGCCGAUGUCAGAUUAGCUAGUUGGUGAGGUAACGGCUUACCAAGGCGACGAUCUGUAGCGGGUCUGAGAGGAUGAUCCGCCACACUGGAACUGAGACACGGUCCAGACUCCUACGGGAGGCAGCAGUGGGGAAUUUUACGCAAUGGGCGAAAGCCUGACGUAGCGACACCGCGUGAGCGAAGAAGCCCCUUGGGGUGUAAAGCUCUGUCAGCUGGAACGAAAAAAUGACGGUACCAGCAGAGGAAGCGAUCGGCUAACUACGUGCCAGCAGCCGCGGUAA